rnacentral:tRNA from 1 species
GUGGCUGUAGCUCAGUUGGUAGAGGUCCAGGAUUGUGAUUCCUGUCGUCGUGGGUUCGAGUCCCAUCAGCCACCCCA